GACGAACCGUGCGAACGUUGUUCGGAAUCACUGGGCUUAAAGGGCGCGUAGGCGGGUUGCCAAGUCCGGGGUGAAAGCCUCCAGCUUAACUGGAGAAGUGCCUUGGAUACUGGUGAUCUCGAGGGAGGUAGGGGCAUGUGGAACUUCCGGUGGAGCGGUGAAAUGCGUAGGUAUCGGAAGGAACGCCGGUGGCGAAAGCGACGUGCUGGACCUCUUCUGACGCUGAGGCGCGAAAGCUAGGGGAGCAAACGGG
rnacentral:rRNA from 1 species